UUAAAGAUGACGUCCCCUUUGCGGUUGAGUUUGCACCUUUAGUUCUGGGGAUGAGUUCAAGUCAGGCAGUCGGUGAAAUCAAGAGUCUGGCUACAUGAAAAUCUCCUCCUUCUCAUUCCUUAUGUUGGCAAAGAGGGCGGUGCUGUGGUUUAUGCAGUCGGCAGAGCCUGCAGAGAAAGACCCCCCUAAGCACGGGCUGAAAUGGAGAUAACUUCCAAGCUGUUUAUAUUUUCCCCCCAUGCUAUAUAGUCUCUGAUUGAGAUGACUUUCUCGCCUCUUUGCUCACAUCAUCCCAACAGUCCCUCCGGUGCCCAGAACUCCCUUUCUAAUUACAGCAAACUCCCGGCUGAUCUUGGAAGGGGCUGUAGGACGAGGGGCCCUCCUCUGACGCAUCACUUUUUGGAUCCUGUUUUCUCCAAACUGCUCCCUCUUCUGUCUCUGUCUUCUGUCUCUGCCAAACAACUGUCCACAGUCCUCUGAACCCCAACGUGUAGCUCAGGAACCAAAUUUGUUUGCGGGAAGAAUGGCAGUCUGUCCCGGUGCCUUGGGUGGUGUUCAUGGAAGCUGUCUGAAUGAACUAACAAGUCUGGCCAAUAAGACAGUCGCCGGGCCGAAUCGGGUGACUUGAGCGUGAACUGUCUUCUGUCUUCCGGUGGGCUUGGCAUCACACACGCAGUAAAAGCCUGGCCAUUUAAGAAGGAUCAUUUGUCAACACCUAGGUGGA